AAACUUUAAAAAUCCAAAAACCCAUUGUUUGCAUAAUUGGACAGAAACGUUACACUAUACAACUAAAUUAAACCAGUCAUCAAUUCAAUUGUAACAAAGGAAUAGCGGAAGUAAAUAGCUAGGAUCACCUGUAUGUAAUAUAGACAACACAUAAUUAUAGAUUUAAUCGAACAUAAAAUCGAUACUUAUAUCUUGAAGCGUGACCCGGAUAAUGCCCGGAAUCAGCAAAAUUCGUGUGGGCGAAUUACUCCUUAAUCUUCUCAAAGUGCUUCUUGAGACGGUAGAGUCUCGUGCU
rnacentral:lncRNA from 1 species